ACUUUCGGUUUUGGCAUCCAGAGUAAAACCAGGGACAGAGAACAGAACAACAAGAUCAAAGUGAAAGUGAAUCCAGCCAAUCUUUUAAAUAGUGCCUGUGCGUUAGUGUUUACCUCAGGGUUUAAACUUUAACAUCAGGAGUAUGAGUAAUAUUUAAGUUUAAAAAGACAAGUGUGAUGUUUUAAACUGUAUGUGGGAAUAUUUGUGCAAGUAUCCCUUAAUCAUUGUUCAUAUAAAGUACUGACAUAAUUGAUAUCUUUGCCAUGAUUUCUGUCUUUCAAAUCAGUAUAUUCUGUGAUUUUAUUGAGAAGAGAGUAGGAGAAUAGAAGGGAAUAUUAGUGAACCAGCAGUGUAUUGUAUAGUACUGUACACAGCAAAUUGGCCAGUUUAACCUAGUGUUGAUUUUCAGUGGAACAUUUCUAGUGUUGUUUCAGAAGUUAAAUUAACUUAACACUUUGUGGUGUAAAAUAACCCCGGUAUUACUAUUAAUACCCAAAGUUGAGUGUGAUUGUGUAAUUUUUGCUUUGUGGUAGAGUAAAACACUCAAAACCACACCAAUCAUUAUCAUAUUUCCCAGCAUGCUAUAGCAUGUUGAUUUUCAGAAUGGUUUGUUCAAUAUCUGAUUGUUUAAUCAAUGUACAUUGAUUGGUUGAUUAAUGUUAUGCUAUACAAAGAUAAAUAACAUACAUUUUAGUAGUUGGUCAAAUAGCAACGGUUAUUGAAAUGAUCGCUCCAGUUUAGAUUUAGAUAGAUGAGACUAUCAAUCUUCCCUACUCUGGCAGUCAUUCUGAAUGCAGGUUGUGGGUGAUUAAAUGUUCCAAUUGUUGGAUAUCCUCACUCUCGCUUGAUUCCAAUAGUGACAUGUAGAGUAGGCCGGAAGGCUAAACUGAAAAACCUAAACUGAAACUGAAAAACCUAACCUCUAUCAAAUAAAAAGAUGGUGGAGCCGAAAAAGUACUUCUGUGCAAGGGUGUUUAUAUACAUAGUGAAUCCGGAAGAAAAACAACAGUACUGCCAUCAAAAAUGUACAUUAUGGGACAGCUAAAAACAAUGCUGCUCCAUCAACAGCUCAAUCCAAAAGGGUCCCUUUGAACUGAAAGAGAGGCUCCUUUUGUAGGUGAAGCCAUUCCCAUCAGAACAUAUUAAACACUAAUUAAUUAGGUAAUUACCAUCAUCAAAGCCUAUAUUUUCCACUCAGCUAAGCAUAAUGAAUGAUGUACAUUGCACCUUUGUAAUCCGUUUCUCAUGAUACAUUAUAACACAUUUACAAAAUCCCAUCCCUACCGACAUGGUGUCUUCCAAUACGCCCAUUCACAUGAACGAGCCAUUCCGGACAGGCUCUACAAAGCCAGCUUGAUUGCCGUAGCUCUCGUCCUCAUACCAGCAUACCAGGAAGCUACAGAAAUGGAGAGAGAGGAACAGAACCAAACAAACAGCGCGCUCAUCCAUAACAUGAAGUACAAUUAACGUUGCUUUACCUAAACGCUUGUCUGUAUGUCAUAAACUGUUGCUGACGGGAGUUUACCGUUUGCAUCAAGAACGGUCCACCACCCAAAGGACAUUCAGCCAACUUGACACGACUGUGGGAAGCAUUGGAGUCAACAUGGGCCAGCAUCCCUGUGGAAAGUGUUUGACAGUGGGGAACUCGGGGGUAGCUAAAUAUUACUAAGGUGUUCCUAAUGUUUGGUAUACCCAGUAUAUACAGUGCAUCCCGGACGAGACCCCAAAUGUUACUAAACCACCUACCUAGCCUAUUGAUAUUGCUACUCAUGCUAAGUCUAGGGUUCCUAUGGUCUGUAACCAAGGUGUACAUUUAAGUGAGAAGUCUGAGUAUGCAGACAUUGUUGUAUGCAUGGGGGAAAAAAAGUUAUGCGAAUACCUUGUAAUGACAAAUACCAUGAAAUGUCAAAUCAGAGAUUUUUGUGGCAGAACCCACUCAAUGUCUAAGUGUAUGUGUAACAGUAUAGUUUCCGUCCCUCUCCUUGCCCCAGCCUGGGCUCGAACCAGGAACCCUCUGUACAAAUCAACCACAGUCACUCACAAAGUAUCGUUACCCAUCGCGCCACAAAAUCCACGGCCCUUGCAGAGCAAGGGGAACCACUACUUCAAGGUCUCAGAGCGUGUGACGCUACCGAUCAAUACGCUAUUAGUGCGCACCACCGCUAACUAGUUAGCCAUUUCACAUCAGUCACAUAUGUACAAAUACUUUAAACUUCAUACUGUGUUUCAUGUUCAGUGUUAUACUACAUUCUCCGAAAUGAUCCUCUCUGUUUAGACUUUGUUUGUUGUUGGCAUUUCUUGAUGACUUUUACAGCCUUGCUUUGUGUCCGAGCCGCUUCAAUUGAAAAUUGACAUUUCAAAACCAUCCCUGAUGUUUUUCAAAAGCGUGUUUUCACCUUGACACUAUAUACUUGGAAGUGCUCAGUGAUAUUGCCCUCAUAUAUUUGUGAUAGUGUUUUCAUGCUGACUCUAAUACUACGUUAUUAGGGAUAAACUAUUCAGAUCAAAACAAAUAUCUAGGACAGACAUUUUAGUCAGCAUUAUACAAUCUUUGGUUAUUUUAUUUUUAACAGUAUCAUUUUCGAUACACAUGGUAGGAUUCAUUUAUAAGGCUUAGUUGUACUUGUGGCUUCUGCCAGUGCAAAAUAUAUCCAGUAGGAAAUUAAAUUAUUACUCUUAAUUGCU